GUCUACGGCCAUGCCACCCUGAACGUGCCCAAUCUCCUCUGAGCUCAGAAGCUAAGCAGGGCUGGGCCUGGUUAGUACUUGGAUGGGAGACCACCUACGAAGACCAAGUGCUAUAGGCA
rnacentral:rRNA from 1 species